UACAGAGGGUGCAAGCGUUAAUCGGAUUUACUGGGCGUAAAGCGCGCGUAGGUGGCCAAUUAAGUCAAAUGUGAAAUCCCCGAGCUUAACUUGGGAAUUGCAUUCGAUACUGGUUGGCUAGAGUAUGGGAGCGGAUGGUAGAAUUCCAGGUGUAGCGGUGAAAUGCGUAGAGAUCUGGAGGAAUACCGAUGGCGAAGGCAGCCAUCUGGCCUAAUACUGACACUGAGGUGUGAAAGCAUGGGGAGCAAACAGG
rnacentral:rRNA from 1 species